rfam:Lysinibacillus sp. F5 Contig44, whole genome shotgun sequence.
AAAUCCUUUAAUACGGUCCAGAGAGGCUGAAAAGGGCUAUGUGAUAUUUUUAAGCUAAUAUCUUUGCUUUGUCAUGCCCUUUUGUCCUCUGUGACGGAAGGGCUUUUAUU